rnacentral:lncRNA from 1 species
CUGCACACAUCAAGUUUUUAUUAGUGUGAUUUUUUAGACGAAUUCACAACAUAAACAAUCACAAGUGAUCAGAACCCAAAAUCAAAAGCACUAAAAUCAACUAUUUCCAAACCCAAAGACAAGGGAACUUCUCCACACCAAUUCUAGUAAUUAUCCACCACAGUUGUUGAUCCCUUCAUAUGACAAGGACCAGAAAAAUCACAAACAUACAAACUGACCAAGAAAACUUAAUAACAGAGGAACCACCUUCAAACAGCUACAAUAACAGAAAAUCAAUGACAGAAAUUAGAAUUUAAACAAGCUCCAUCAGAGUAAAUUACAUGUCUAUAUCUACAUGUCCACAUGAGCUGAACUUAACUUAGUUGACAGAGACAUUACA